AGACGUGGGCCAGGCCCUCCUGCAUGACCACAGCUGCCACAUCAGCGCUCCACGCCGGGUCGCAAGCCUGCUCGAUGCGUUCCAGAACCACACUGUCCCACUGUUUCUUGGCCAGGGUGAACUGGCGGUUGGGCUCCAGUUCGAUGGUGUGGUAAGCCCCCAUCUUGACAUACUCAUUCUCUUGGAUAUUGGUCCCCUUCACCCGCAGCUGGCAGGCCUGGGAGUCGAAGUCGAUGGCCUCCACGCAAAGGGUGAGGGUGGUGCGGACACGGUUGCUCCCCACGCUGCCUGUGGAGGACUCGGUCUGGACCUUGCGGAUGGUGGAGGCGCGCAGGCUGUCGCCCACCUGCACUAAAUUGAAGCUCGGGACAGCACUUUUACCCCACGCUUUUUCUCAAGUCUCCGCGCGCUGGCCCACGCGCGGCGCGGCAAACCUCACGCUCAGCACGAGUCAACUCUCGGGACUUCCAGUCGCCGGCCCCGCGAAACCGGCUGACGCGGCGAUCGCGCAGGCGCAGCCCGCCUCCCGGCGCAAGUCUGUUGUGGGUCCCUACCAGAGAGGCGGGGCCUGUCGGCGGCGCGCGCACGCAGGCGCAGUAAAAGGAAAGGCUCGCCCUAGAUAAACGUCAAAGGAGGCGGUCAGCGCUCUGAAAAGCUAAGCUUUUCCCGGCACAUCCCUGUGUGCGAGCACAUGCCAAGUACGUGAAUGCAAACAUAUGUAUUUAAGCUGGAUUUAUCAUUCUGCACCUUAGCGUGAAGCCAGCUUCAGAACUUAUAUAAAAGUGAAAAGCGCCCUCAAAAGUUCAGACUUGCCCCCCCCAUCCCCGGCGAAGUUCAAACUCUGCCUGGCUUUGCUCGCUCUUUCCCUACCAGCACUCAGACCGACGAGCUUGUUGGCUCAGAGAGAUCCAGAAGCGGUUUCUAAGAACUAGUCACGUACAGUCUGGGCUCAGCAACGUGUCCAGCUGUUUUCUGCGCCUGUUACCCUGUUUGCACGAUCCAGUUAACCCAGAUGUUAAAGGACAGAGCCCAGAGAGAGCAGUGGAAUGCGUGGAAUGUACCCCUGGUGGACCUCUAUGUAGCUUGACCUGAUUGAUGUCCUGGGAAUCCCAGAAUCCAAAGUUGGCCGACUCAGCGCAGUAGUCUCUGAGGCGUUCAGUGUGGGAGCCGGACUGCAGUAGAUUAGCGCUCGAUCUUCCCUGCCACUGACUAGCCAAAAGUUGAGGAUAUGGGAAGUAAAGAUAAGCUAAUCUAAUAUGACCACCCCAAAAGAAGAGCCAAAGAGUUGGUUGUAAAGGAAAAGAAAAGAAAAAGAAAAACAAAUAAACAAAAAUCCAUUCCGUUUCUCCCA
rnacentral:lncRNA from 1 species